ACCUUACACUGAGCCUCCAGCUCUCUGACGCUCUCUGGACUAUGAUGCUGACAGCGUCUGCUCUACUGCUGCUCCUGCUUGUUCCUGGCAUCAGUCCCGUGCCCAGCAGACUCUGGGAACACCGGGGAUCCUCCCAUUGUGUGCCCAUCCCAAGCAACAUGACCCUGUGCCAGGCUCUGGGCUAAAACAGCAUGCGGAUGCCCAACUUGCUGGGACAUGAGUCUACAGCAGAAGCGGUGCAGCAGAGGGUCACCCACACGCCCAAAUAUUUCUGUGCUCGCUCUUCACUCCUGUGUGCCUUGAGAGUGGUGCCUCGAGCGAGCUGCACAGACUGUGUCCUCCAAAGACCUGCUCCACCUCUUCUGAAAAAAUGGCUUUGUGGUUAAAGUGCGUCUAUCCAUCUAGCUGGAGGAAACACCAGCGGCUGCUCAACCAAGCAUCACACACGUGGAAAAGACGUCGGUGCAGAGCGUAGAGUUUCAGAAAACAUACCUCAGUGCUCAUAAUGACAUAAAUAAUAGAAGAUCCUUGUCCUAUGUUUUUGAAUCUUAAGAUAUUAAAGUUUUACAAAUGCUUUUCUGAAAACUGUAGUUCUCGUGAACAUUUCCGGUCACAAAUGUUGAGGUCACUUUGAGGUCUGUAAUUGAUGUCGAAACCAAAACUUACAGUUGAUAUGAAAAUGAAUCGGUGUAAACUCACCAAACAGCAGUGGU